ACCCCGGGAGGGGAGUGAAAUAGAACCUGAAACCGCAUGCAUACAAACAGUAGGAGCCUUUACGGAGGUGACUGCGUACCUUUUGCAUAAUGGGUCAGCGACUUACAUUCUGUGGCGAGCUUAACCGAAUAGGGGAGGCGCAGCGAAAGCGAGUUCGAAAUGAGCGUUCAGUCGCAGGGUGUAGACCCGAAACCAGAUGAGCUAUCCAUGGCCAGGUUGAAGGUGUGGUAACACACACUGGAGGACCGAACCGACUAGUGUUGCAAAAUUAGCGGAUGAGCUGUGGAUAGGGGUGAAAGGCCAAACAAAUCUGGAGAUAGCUGGUUCUCCCCGAAAACUAUUGAGGUAGUGCCUCGUGUGUCGCUCCAGGGGGUAGAGCACUGUUUUGGCUAGGGGGACAUGGAGUCUUACCAAACCAAGGCAAACUCCGAAUACCUGGAAGCGUGAGCACGGGAGACAGAGCACCGGGUGCUAACGUCCGGACUCAAAAGGGAAACAACCCAGACCGCCGGCUAAGGUCCCAAAUAACAGCUAAGUGGAAAACGAAGUGGAAAGGCCGUGACAACCAGGAAGUUGGCUUAGAAGCAGCCAUCCUUCAAAGAAAGCGUAAUAGCUCACUGGUCGAGUCCUUCUGCGCGGAAGAUGUAACGGGGCUAAGCUGUUAACCGAAGCCGCGGAUGCGCUGGUUAUCCAGUGCGUGGUAGGGGAGCGUUCUGUAAGUCUGCGAAGGCGGUUCGAGAGGACUGCUGGAGAUAUCAGAAGUGCGAAUGCUGACAUGAGUAACGUUAAAGCAGGUGAAAAGCCUGCUCGCCGUAAGCCCAAGGAUUCCUGCUCUACGUUCAUCGGAGCAGGGUGAGUCGGCUCCUAAGGUCAGGCCGAAAGGCGUAGCCGAUGGGAAUCAGGUUAAUAUUCCUGAACCUGCGUCAGAUGCGAUGGGGGGACGGAGCAUGGAAGAUCAUCCGGGUGUUGGAAGUCCCGGUUGUUGAGCGUAGGAGGUCUGCAGGCAAAUCCGCAGACGCAUCUCCAAGGCAAAGACACGUGCCGCCACGGCGGCGAAGUGAUCGGAAGUGCUUCCAAGAAAAGCCUCUAAGCACCAGUCUGAUGCGGACCGUACCGUAAACCGACACUGGUGGGCGAGCUGAAUAUGCUCAGGCGCUUGAGAGAACUCGGGAGAAGGAACUCGGCAAAUUGACACCGUAACUUCGGAAGAAGGUGUGCCGUAGUACCGUGAGAGGAGAGACACCUUGAGCGGGAAACGGUCUCAGAGAAUAGGUGGCUGCGACUGUUUAUUAAAAACACAGCACUCUGCAAAGUCGAAAGACGACGUAUAGGGUGUGAUGCCUGCCCGGUGCUGGAAGAUUAAUUGAUGGGGUGAGAGCCCUUGAUCGAAGUCCCAGUAAACGGCGGCCGUAACUAUAACGGUCCUAAGGUAGCGAAAUUCCUUGUCGGGUAAGUUCCGACCUGCACGAAUGGCAUAACGAUGGCCACACUGUCUCCUCCCGAGACUCAGUGAAGUUGAAAUGUUUGUGAUGAUGCAAUCUACCCGCGGCUAGACGGAAAGACCCCAUGAACCUUUACUGCAGCUUUGCAUUGAACUGUGAACCGAUUUGUGUAGGAUAGGUGGGAGGCAGAGAAGAGGCCACGCCAGUGGUCUUGGAGCCGACCUUGAAAUACCACCCUGAUUUGUUUGCGGUUCUAACCACGGACAGUGAUCCUGUCUUGGGACCGUGCAUGGUAGGCAGUUUGACUGGGGCGGUCUCCUCCUAAAGGGUAACGGAGGAGUACGAAGGUACGCUAGGUACGGUCGGAAAUCGUGCUGAUAGUGCAAUGGCAAAAGCGUGCUUGACUGCGAGAGCAACAACUCGAGCAGAUGCGAAAGCAGGUCAUAGUGAUCCGGUGG
rnacentral:rRNA from 1 species